CUUGUGAAAGGGGGGCAGUUUUGGGAGACAUUCCAGCCCUGGCAUUGGGAGCCAGAUGAGGAAUCCUGGAAGAGGACACUCCAGGCUCAUCUAGUCCAACCCCUGCAAUUCAGGAACCCCGGUUCUUAGUCCCGCCAGCUCCCUUGAGCUGGGCAACUCGGAUGCCUGAAGCAGCGCCCCGUUGGAGAGCAGCCUUGGGUCGCCUCUGGAGCUGUCCGGACCUUUUGGAUGGCUGUUUCCAUCCCCCCUGCCUUCUGCUGGCAGGCCCGGUUGGGAGUUGUAGUCCAAAGCUUAUUGAGGGGAGGUGGUUUUCAAGUUGGAACUAUGUUUUGACCCUUUCCCAAAAGGAGAUGCCACAAAGUGUGUGUCGGGAGGGUGUCUUUUCAGUGCCAGGAUACAAGGUGCUCUCUUGACCUGGGAGCCCAAUCCCUCUCCCCCACCCCUAGAAAAGGGGGUCUUCCCCUUAUCCUCUCCUUGCAGGACCCCCUUUUCCUUCCUCUUUGCUCAGAGUCAGAACCAACUCUCUCUCAAGGGACCCUGGAGCCAAACACUUGCAGAGUUUUACUUCUCAAGCAAAGGGGGGGAAGGAAUACAUUCUUAUUGCUCUUGAGAUGUACAGAAAUCUGUUCCCCGCGGAGGGAGAAGCUCGCCAGGCCCCCAAAGUCCCCCGAUGGAGCAGCUCUGCACCUGCGCCACGCCCGGGGCUCCUCCGCAGGGAAAGACCGACCAGCAAAAGGGUUAAGUGGCACCAAGCUGGCUUCCUAGAGAGGAAUAAAGGGAGGAGGCUAUCCAGAGCACAAGCUCCGCCCCCAUCCGGGCUUUUGUCUCUCUGCUCCGCAUGUGCUGCCUGGGGGCGCCUUCUGGGAUCCGGAUCCUCCCUGCCAGAGGGGGAGGGGGCUUUCGUUUCCUCUGCAGGAGCUGCCUCAGUUUACCUUCUGGCAUCUGGAUUCUCUGGCACCUCUCAUUAGGACAGGCAGAACUUGGCAGAAGACCUAGGGACUCCUUCCGAUCUCCUGGGAACAGAGAUGGAUGAGCAAGACUCAGCUGGCCCUGAAGCAGGAAGAGGCCUUGCAACCCAACAUGGGAGGAGUGGGGGAAUCUGGGAAAACUCUGUUUGGUCACAUUAUGUGGAUUUUGAAACUAAUCUAUGAAUUUGUUUAAUCUUGGGGGGGGGGGGGAGUCACAGAGGACCAAGAGCCCAGAGAAAGGGAGAUGUAUUUUUGCACUCUAGUAUGUGAAAUGGGUACAAACGUCCACAUUUAGGUGGCAACUCCUACUUGUUUGAAGGCGCACCUGUAGUUUUCCUUCGGAGUGAAGCAUGCGCUCUUGGCUUCCCACUUACCUUCUUCUCUCGCAGGAGACGGAAGGAGGCCAGCAAGACCUGUUUGUCCAUCUUUUCUUGGUGGCGGAGGGGAAGCUGCCCCUGUGGACCCAGAGCAGGUAGGAGGAAGGGGCCAUGUGGGGAGAGAGGAUGUCAUGGACUGGGGGACACAGAGGAAUGGUGGGAGGAACCGCCCAGGAAGGAGGGUUGAAGGCUCAAAUAGGCUUCUGAGCAGUUCACACACCAUACCAAAGAGUGGCCAGGAUUCACCCCAUCAGUCCCACAGUGGGGCUUUCCCCCUCUCAUUCCCCAGCGCACCUUGGAGAUGUCUAUAGUGCUUCAGGAGGGUCCUCCCUGUCGCAAAAUCUUUGUGGCACUUUAGCAGAAAUGCUUAGAGUUCCAGGUUCUUCAGUGCAGUAUAUUUAUUGUGAGCUCUAUAUCUACAAAUAUCUACAGGCUAUAAUACAGGAGCAGUUCAUACAGUCAAACGGAGUACCUGGCUGCACCUUAAGGCAAAGAGGAAGACUCUCUCUCUCUCUGACCACACUCCUCUGCACCACCACCUUGACUGCUGGACAGGUUUCCCUUUUAAACCAAGGACAGCCAAUCAACUGACAGCACGUUAUUCUGACCCACAUCAUUCUGACCCUGAACUUGCAUAGAAAGUAUUGCAGGCCGAUUGCAUCAGCCAGUUGCAUCAGCUAGCAGACUCAAGCCUGCAGACCUACUAUCUCACACAGCCUUCUGGGAUCCCAACACUCCCCACCCGGCAAGAACAGCACAGAGGGACAGAAGAAGGGAUCCUUCCAUGUGGCAAACGGGAAUGUUUGUGCACAGGAUUAGAAGAAUGAUUUGAAGAACACCAGUUUCUUAAUGCCCCUCAUUAAAAUACACAACGAAUAAUUCCAUUAAAACAUCAAAAUAUGCAUCCAUAAAAUGUACAGAAAAAGAAUCCAAUUAAUACAGAACAUCAAUUAAGAGGCAGAAAACAACAGAGUGUAACAGUUCACCCUUAUGUUAUCUAAGAGGACAACCUUUUUCUUUUAGGGUCCAGUGUGCUUUGAAGAUGUAGCUGUCCAUUUCACAGACGUUGACUGGGCAUUGCUGCAUCCUGACCAGAGAGCCCUCCAUAAGGAAGUCAGGGAGGAGAAUCGGGGGAUCUCGGACUCUCUCAGUAAGGCUUAAUAUUAUGCCUACCCCCCCUCCAAGAUGGCCCCCUUUUGCUCUUGAAGGGUUGGUCUGUCUGCAGCCCCCACAGCCUCCCAUCAGGGAACCUUCACGGGGGCAGAAGCAGAGGAAGGGCCUCAGGAAAGCAGCCAUGGCUCUGGCCAGAUGCACAGGAGGAGGAGGAGGGGCGCUGACCCAAAUUAUGAUUUAUUCCUUCAAUGCCUCCUUCACGUCAUGACUGGUCAAAGUCUUGUCUCCUCUUCUCUCCCUCAGUUACCUUACAGCUCUGCUGCAGUCCCUUCCCAGAUACAGAGAGUGAUCUGGGGUGUCGUGGAAUCCUAGAACUGGAGAAUUCUGCAGGUCUGCCCAGAACUCAUUGCACCGAGUUCAAGGGAACUUCUUCCCCGGUAGUUCCUCUCGGGAUCUCCGUUCGACUGAGCUGAUAAAGCUGAUCUUCCGGAAUCGCCUCCACGUGAUUGACGACCUGAGCCUCUGAUAAGGCUCCAGGCACAUUCCCCAUUCAGCAGAGUUUCCAGCACAGGGAAGAGACGAGAGGUUUGGGCUACAUUGCUAGGGGUUUUAUUAUCUAGCUACGCAGGCAGAAAAAUACAUCCUCUCUCUGUGAGAGCAGAGAGCAACUGAACAACAAAGGAACAAAGGAACAGGAAACCACUAACAUCCCAUCCGUCUCCUGUGAGACUUCCAACAGUAUGGAAUGUGUGGAAUGUAGACAGAGUCUUGUGACUCCAAAGCACUGCUCAGUGGCAAACAGAAAUGGCAAGCAUUUUCUCCUCACUUACAGGAACAUUGGGAAGACAAGCUGGCCUUGUUGUGAGCCAGGUGUCCUAGAGAGACUCUGAAAGGCCCAUGGAAUCAAAGGGAGGCUGGGGAGGAGAACAGGUCCUCUCAGGAGUGGCUUCCGAGGGCCAUGAUGCACUGGGGCAGGGCAGGGACAAAUGCAGAGGGGCACUGCCUGCCAAUCCAAUUCCCCAAAAUUCAUCACCCAUCCUGAGACCCUCAGAAGAAGAUUCAGGGGGGGCCUGACCAGAUUCAGGGGGCCCCUGACCAGCUACAUGGCUGGAUGGUCAUUUCCACCAUUCCAGAGGCGAGUCCCUCCCUCCCGACCAGGGAGGGGUGUUGCUUUACUUGCCAACAAGCAGGACACGCACGCCUGUUUGUUGCCAUUAGGCUGCAAUAAGCUCAGGGGAAGUAGCAGGUUGGGGCACCUAGGAGAAUAUCCUACACUGCACCUAGGAGAAUAUCCUACGCUGCACCAAGGAUUCCCUGCCCCAGCUGCUUCAGGUUGUGGCGGAUGUUCUCCUGGAGACACCUAGCUUGGUUGUCCUAGGGGAGUUUAACAU